GGACGCGGCGCUGCUCGCGGAGAUGCGCGGCAGGAUCGAGGAGGAAACCCGGAAGUUCGACGAGAAGAUCGCCGAUGCUGAAGAGAACUUGGGUGAGAGUGAAGUGCGGGAAGCCCAUCUAGCCAAAUCCUUGUAUUUCAUCAGAGUUGGGGAGAAGGAAAAGGCACUGGAGCAGCUUAAAAUUACUGAGGGAAAAACUGUAGCUGUUGGGCAAAAGAUGGACCUUGUUUUCUACGCUUUGCAGAUUGGCCUCUUCCGUAUGGACUUUGAUCUCAUCUCAAAGUCCAUCGACAAGGCCAAAAUCUUGUUUGAGGCGGGUGGUGACUGAGAGAGGAAGCAACGGCCGCCGCAGAUGUUCUACCUUGAUUCUCCCCCGAUACCUUUUGCCGAUCCGCCAUAAUCUGUGGCAAAGGUGGCUCCAUCGACAAGGAUCAGGCGAUUGAGUACAUGAAGCUGGCGGUCGAGAAGAACCCAAGGCCCGCAUCGAGGAGACCAAGAGCAAAUGGGAUGCGUUCAAGACUUCAAGCGGAUCAAGAAGAUUCGUGUGUUUGGAUGGGGCUUGCAGGUAAUAAAGGAUUCGGUAAUACAUGAUCAUAUAGGAGCAAUCGAUCCUGAGACGGCAGCGGCGGCAGCAGCACCCAUGCAAGUUCAGCAGGCAGCCAGGCACAGCCAGCUGAUGGCACCAUCACCCCUGCAGAUUUUGUUUUUACAUUCAUCUGUAACAUAAGGCCCGGACAUGAAAUGGCUUUUCUUUUCCAACAGUUGCCAAAACAACCUAGAGCCAAUCAGGAUUAGGAGUCUAGGACGGCAUAUUCAGUUCAGAUAUUAUUAAUCCUUCGUUACUGGUACAACUGAUAUGUAAUAUUGGCUUGCAAAGACUUGCUUCAGGGUUAAAGAUAUUGACGGGUACCUUAUUUCAGGACAAUGAAAAUCCUAAAUCUGGGUGCUAUCUGGUAAAUCAUACAUGGUCUACUCAAGGUCAGUCUCGUUACUACUUUAUUAUCACAACUUCAACACUAAAGAUUAGCAACCUCACUUGACCUUAUUAAAUAAAUAUCUAGCAGUUAAUUUUUUUGAAGGCUCUCUGUUUCAGUUAUAGUUACUUAACUAUCAAUAUUUUACUUAUGGGUAUCACAGAGAAGCUUGGAUCCAAUUCCUACACUAUGAGAAGCUAUUUCUAUUGAUGGCAAAGGAAAGUAUGUACCUUUUGGAAGUACAAAAUAAUCUCAAGAUCUCACCUUUUUUCCUUUUCUUUUGCUAUAUGUAGAGAUUACAAGGUACUUCUCCAAGGUGAGUAGCAAACAUGUCUUCUGGCUUCUUGAUCCCAAACCUUGCACAAGUGUAAUGAAGCAUAACUCUGGUCUAAUGGCUCACCUUAAUCUCCCUGUUGGUCUGAACUGGCAUAGCAUUCUGAUUGAUUGAAGAUGCACAAUAAGUUUUGAUGCCAAGCUAUUUCUCGUACUGCAAAGGUUCCGCAUCAUCACACCAAACCUGUAGGAAUCACCAGCCUUCCCUGAGCGUCGCCGUUGACCACGUCUGAGUUGUCACACCUCCAACUUCCGCGGCAAUGACAUGUUUGUAGUAUCCGGGAUAUACAUCACAGUGUUUGAAUGCGGUAAGUAACAUCCUCUUUUCGUUCUGUUAUCUAUGAACUACUUGACAACACUUUUGGUUGAUUGCGCCCCUGGCUUCCUCCAGCAAUGAUAAAUGGAUCUUGGUCAUCAGCGAUUGGCUCGGCAGAUCAUGGCCAAAAUUGAUUUUAUCCUUAGCCUGCUUUUGAAGAACCACCCCACUAUAUGUUACAUUAUUAUGGGAAUUUGGAUUAUCAUGUGUUUCUUAAACAGGCUAACCUAAUCUAUUAUGUACAAAUGUUUAUCUCUCAACAAUAAUUUGUUUGUAUACAUGAGAGAUAUUUGUUGUGUGGUAUGGUAUUCGCAGCACUAAAAUACUUAUGGUUCUUUUAUUUCCAAAGAAAAGGGCACUUGAGGUAAUUUGUAUUUGUAGGAGUGGAGGUGUGGGGGCAUGCAAGCAAGAAUAAGAAACAUCACACUAUAUUACCCGUUCAAGUUCAUAUUUAAUCGCCAAAGCUUAGGUUUUCUUAAACCUACAUGAAACGAUAUGUGUAUAAUAUUUUUAUAUAACAAGGUACUGAUACAAUUGGAUCUCUUCACAUGAUGAAAUGGAGAUGCCAAACCAAUUUUUUUACAUAACUAAUAAACGGGUACUGCAAUAUAGCUGUUACAGAUGCCGCAAAAGGUCUAUUCGCAAACAUGUAAAUCUGAAGGCACGUUUCCAAAUGUGAUAACUUAUACCAUUCUAAUUGGGAGCCUGUUUGAAGGAGAUAAUAUGUGACCAAAGUUGCUGUAUAUUCUGAACACAUGUUGCUUAGUGAGUAAUUUCCUUGCAUGGGGCUUACUGGUUGAUAAAUAUGUGCAGAUUAUCUUGACGACUGGUCAAAGGCUUUGUGGAAGCAAUUUCUUAUCCAUGAAUAUAAUAUAUUUGGUUGUCAAUAUAUAGCCCUAAUCUGAUUGCUUGUUGUUAUACGCAGUAUCACCUUUUCUUGUCUUCUUUUGAUUAUUGGGUAUGUCACAUUUGUGCA